rnacentral:tRNA from 1 species
GGCAGGUUAGUGUAACGGUCAGCACGCAAGGUUUUCAUCCUUGUAUCACGGGUUCAAAUCCCGUACCUGUCGCGA